GGCUGGUUGGAUAGUAGGGGUUUAUCAGAACUUAUUUGCAUUAGUGUCACUAAAGUUUAUAUUCAACCCCCCACUGCUAAAUUUGGCUAGAAAA
rnacentral:Y_RNA from 1 species